GCCUGGCACAGUGCCGUGCACCUGCAGUCUCAGCUACUAGGUUGGGGUGGAUGGCUUGAGCCCAGUUCUGGGCUGUAGUGCACUAUGCCAAUCGGCUGUCCACACUAAGUUCGGCAUUGAUAUGGUGACCUCCUGGGAGUUAGGGACCAUCAGGUUGCCUAAGGAGGGGUGAACUAGCCAAGGUAGGAAACAAAGCAAGUCAAAACUCUCAUGCUGAUCAGAAGAGGGAUCACCGCCUGUGAAAAUGCAGCAAGACCCUGUCUCAUUUAUUAAAAAAAAA
rnacentral:lncRNA from 1 species